rnacentral:tRNA from 1 species
GGCGGGUACAGUGACAGAUGGAGGACCAAGUUGAGGUUCACACUCAACCUGAACCGGGAAGUCACCGUCAGUGCAGGUUCGACUCCUGCGCCCGCCACCA